CUUGAGUAAUGUUUCCUUGCAGGAUUGGAUGCCUGCAGAUUGAUGGAUGCCAACUAGAUGGAUCCAUUCACAUUGGCUAAGUAGAUCCUGUGUCUCCUACCUUCAUGCUGCUGAUCUCUGUUUUUGUGAGCCAAGGCUGUAUUUUUAAUGAGCAAAGUUUUAAAUAGUGUCUUAAUACCUGAUACGCUUGUCAAAGUUCCAUGGGAGAAAAAAUCUUAUUAAGAGAGACUGCAUUGGAGGAAAAAAUAACAUCAUUAGGAUGCCAUCAGCGUCUCCCAUCAACGACCACGGUGCCCGUCUCCUGUGGUCAGUCUCCCUUGUUUGGUUUGGGUUUGCUUCGCUUUUAGUGCCUUCUAAUAAAAGCUGGCCCCGCAGGUCGCAGGCAUUCUCCACAUUUCUUAAUGACUUGAUCCCUGAACACCUUAUUAGUUUUGUUGCUUUUGUGAAUAGAAAAACUUUCCCAGUUUUUCAUUUCACUUUCCACAUUUUAAUCAAUUUGCUUAUCACUGUGCUGCAUUCACAGACACACACUGAGCAAACGUGCUUUGUCCCUGGACAGACAAGUGAGAACACAGGACCUGUGCAAAUCUGAGCUAAUUGGCAAGGAAUGUGUUUGAAUGCUUGAAUUAAAUUUCACUUAUACAAGUACAACACGAAUACAUUUUCUCUUCAUUACAGUCCACAGUACAGCAGGAGCAUCCCUACUUAGCCCUGGGCCUUUGCCUUGGUUCCUUGGACCCUCAGUGGGCGGGAGCUGGCCUAACUGCCCCUGUUGUCUAGUGUCUGCCUGUGCCCUUUCCAACAUGUCUCUCCUUUUGUCUUGUCUGUCUGCAUAGGUAGGUGGUGUUCACACUGGAGGUGCCACUGAGCCCUGUGGCCUACAGGACUCACCUCGAGUGGCUGUCUGCAUCUCCGUCCAUUCCAGUGCUCCCCUCGGCUGGCUGCACACAGCCAUCCUGCCUCCUGUCUCAGUUGUGUCCUGUCGACUGAUGAUUAAGAUGCCUUUGGUGUCUUCUUUGUGCUGGUCACCUUUUGCUCACAUACAAGGAUUUCUGUAGGACAAGUACCUGGAACCGUUGGGUCACAGGGUAGACAUGGCCUGAAUUCAGAUAAAAAAACGACUACAGUGUUCUCCAAAGUGCCCAGUUCAGUCUCCUGCCAGAACGUCUCCAGUUUUAACGUUUUCACCAAUUGGAUGGAUGAAAAUACUGUCUGGAUUAGUAUGCACUGUCUGUAUCCCACCCCAGCUGACGCUUUUAUUCAUCCUCAUUCCUAGUUCCCUCUCUGGAACUGCCCAUGUUCUUCCUGCCUCUUCCCCUCUGCCUCCUUCCCUCUCUUCCUUCCUUUCUUCCUUCCUCUCCCUCCCUCCUUCCUCCCCUCCCUCCCUCCCAUCUCUUUUUAAUACCAAUUUUUUGAGAUAGGGACUCACUAUGUAGUCCAUCCUAACCUCAAGCUCGGGGUCCUGUAUUCCUCAGCCUCCUGGAUACUGGGAUUAUGGGUAUGAUGCUAUAUUCUACCUAUUUUUUUUCUUUUAGAGAUGUUUGAUCUUUUAUUGAUUUUUAAUUCCUCAUGUAUUUUAUUUACUUGAUAUACUAAUGCUUUGUUGGUAGUGGCAAAUAUUUUUCUACAUUGUGGGGUUUGACACUUCAUUGAAUUGCUUUUAGAAAGUUUAAGGUUUUGAUAACAGUUGUCUACUGGUUUUACUUUUUACACCUCCUUUUGACAAUCUUAAGAAGCCUCCUUUAUAUUAGUUUCUUGUAUUUUCUUCUCUGGCAUCUAUAUUUAUAAAUAUAUAUUACAUGUAUAUUUAUGUUUAUAUGUAGUUUGUAAAUGUAUAAUCAUGUAAAAGAAUAGAUCCCAUAUACACGAUUCUUACCAUCUCACGUCACACACACACACAGCACUAUUUUGUGGAAUGUUUCAGCUAAACCUAUUCCCCUUACCUGGCACCCACCCUGCCUGCCCUGUGCUUGUCAGGGCAGCCCUGGUCCUCUGAGUCUGUGCUCCCAGGCUUAAUGCUAAGCUUUGCUAAGGGUAGGACCAGCCAACCUGUCCUCUGUUGCUUUGCAGAACUACUUUCUUCAUCUUUAUGCAUUAGUCCUACUGCAUGAAUUUUAAAAAUUAUCAGCUUUCAAGAGAAUGUUCUAUAGGAAAUUUUGUUGGUGUUACACUGAACUCACAGAUAAAUCUGAAGGAAGUUGGCCUCUUUUUCCCGUGUGCUCCAGAGCCCUCCCAGCCCAGAAAGCAUCUCGUCCCUCCAGAAAAGAUGCCUGCUUCCUCUGGGUCAGCUUGCCUUCUGUUUCUUGGUGGAUUUGACCCUCAGUCUUUGUACAGGGUUUCUAGCAGCUCAGGAUGGCUCCCCUGACCCGUGUUCCCCAUGCCGCAUCCCUACCUUUCACUAAUCUGGGAGCUCGUUCUGCACACACACAAAGUAAACAUUCUUCCUCCCUGGGCUCAAACACACAGGCACCACUAAACACAGAGCUGGCAUAAUUAGCUGAAAACAAAUUAGAAUCUUUCCAAAUUACACUUUAAUCAAGGAAGCAAAGCAUGAAUCCAUUCUCCCUGUUAGAGGUGGAGUGACAUGAGCCCAGCUGCUGUCUCCUGUGCUCAAGUUCUGGGUCCUGUCCCUCCACAGCUCUGUGGAUCUGCUUCUAGGGCAUGCAGUGCUUUGGAAGGGUCCAGCAUGCUGAGAGCUUGCCUGAGGCUGUGUCUUGACUCCCUCUAGUAUCUUUACAACACUGCCAUGGUGAUCCCUGAUGUUGUUCUUUAACACAGAGGAACACCCAUUCCCUCAGCCCUCAUCCUCCAUCUCCAGACUCCGCCGUCAGUUGGCUGUUUGUCUCUACUCUGUUUUGAGCAGCCUUCUCUCAGCAGUGAUAGCGAAGUGGAAUGCACGGUUUCAGUUUUAGCAGACUUCACCAGGGCCUGCCAUGGUUUCUGACCCAGGCAAGUGUCUAGCCAGAGGCCAUGAGACUUUAAUCCCUACACUGGGAACAGUUCUCAAUGUUUGCCAAUUGGAUGGGUGAAAAAGUUAAAUCCCUUUUUAAAUGUGUAUUUUCCUGUUCAACAGUGGGGUUUUCAUGUGUACAUUGGGUGUCUGUAUGAUUCCCACUCUGAACUCUCAGUUCUUACCAAGACCCUCAGCUCAGUGACCUGUAGACUGUCCUGAUGUAAUCCAGACAGGAAGCCUUCCUGCUUUUGGACAAACACUCCUCCGAGCGAGCAUGUCUGCUCUUUGUACAAUCUUGCUUCCAUUAGACAGAAGUUGCCCAUUUUGAUCAAAUCCGAUUCCUCCCCCCUCCCCCGCCUCCUCUGUUCCUUUUGAAUGUGUAUCAUGUUUGGUUUAAGUGGGGCUUGCAUUCUCUGCUAAUGAUCUCACAGCUCUCGCUCUUGGCUCUGUCUUAUAUCUGGAAUAUAUGUCUAUGAUUGAAUUGAGACAGUGUCUAACCUUUCUCAAAAUGGACAGCCAGUUAUCGGAGCACAAUAGAACACAUCCGCUCGUUUCAUCCUGUGUUGCUUUCCCUAGACUCCGGCCCCCCCCCCGUUUGUUUUGGUUUUGUUUAGUUUUUUUUUUAACUAAUCUGUUUAUUCCUGUCAGUAGCAGAAUUUAUUUCACUGUUACUUUUUACCACCUUGUGAUAUCUGUGAAGUAAAAUGCCACAUUUCACUGUACUUCCUUCCAGCUGUCUCAGCCUGCUCCUCUCCACACAGACUCUAAAAGUUGCUUGUCAGAUACUGUGAAUUCAGAGAUGAAUUUGGGGGAAACUGACGUCAGUACAAUACUGUGUCAUUCACUGCAAGAAUGAGGCAGAACUCUGUUUGUCCAGUCCCCACAUGUCUUACACACACAGACACACACACAGACACACACAGCUUUCUCCUCGGAAAUUUGUGGCUUUCCUUCUGGCUUGCUAUCUUUGGUUUCCAUGAUUGUUGUGAAUGAGUUUUCUCUACUCCCCUCCUGUUUUGUUUGGCUUUUGUUGGCUACAUUUCUUUUUAAUCUACUUUCUAAUCGCUGCACUUCAUUCACAGACACACACAAAGUAAAUGUUCUCUCUCCCUGGGCACAAACAUGCAAACACAGCCAAGCACAGAGCCAGCGUAAUUGGCUGAAAAUGAAUGGGAAUUUUUUUCAAAUUAAAGUUUAAUGACACAAGGGAAACAUGAAUACAUCCUCCUGUUUAAGAACAGAGCUCCACUGCUGGAGCUGAAGUCCCUCUGGCCACCUGCUUCCAUCCCGUUCCCGUCCUUGUCUCUGUGGCACCUCUGUGAUGGGCUUGGUGUGUACUUUUCUAGACCUUUAAAAAAAACUUGUAAAUAUGUAUCUAGGCACCCACAGGGAUGCAGAAUGUUGUCAUCAGUAGUUUCUGCAUUGAGUGAUUAUUCGGGCUGCAGAAUGUCUUCCCUGAUGUGCAUCCUGAUGUGGCAGUGGGGGACGGGGGAGCAGGGGAAACUGAGAGCUGUGGACAAACAGUGGGAUGAGGAAGAAAGAGACAAAGAGAUUCCUUACCAGUCAGCAAUAACCAGAAUCAAACUUUAAAUGUGUGUGGGCAUGGAACUCUUAGGGAGUAGUUUCUAAAGGCCUCAAAGCUUAGUCUGUCACACGGGACGUGGUCAUUCUUACAGAUAAGAAAAAGGUAUAGCUGGUGCUGUUUUGAGACCUCCUGUGAGUUCAUUUCAGUGUCGUGGGACUUGCACGGAUAGCUUCAGGGCCAUUGCUUUGCUUUCUCACCAGAGAUGUGCUGGCAGCUUUCUUGGGCUCCCCUUCCCUUUCUGUCUAGGUGCUGCUGCUGGGUGAGAACAUGGAGCCUGGAAUCCUGACAGCCAUCUUGUGAUCAGGAGGGGAAGGAGACGGCUGACUCUGAGCCAGCAUACCUGCAACCACUGACUUCUGGAUUGUUCACACUUGAAUAAAUGUUCUUGCUCUUAGCUA